GUUCGGCUACGGCUACGUGCCGCACGUGUACCGCGCGCCGGCGCCGCUGUGGAUGCACUACGCGCUGGCGCCGGGCGCGCCGCCGGGGCCCUGGGCGCCGCUGGCGCACCCGCUGCUCACCGACCACAUCCCCAAGGACGAGCCUACUUCCGAUUUGCCACUGAACCUAUCGAAGCACUGAAGCCGUCGUCGCGAGCGCGGGUCGCCUCAGUGCGGCUCGGCCUCGCCGUUACGAGUCGAAAACGAGUCACAGAAGGGAUCAGAGAACUCGUCGCCACGGAACACGUCCGCCGCGCCCAGUGUGCGACGGUCCGACGUAUGACUACGAAGCUGUUAAAGACUUAGAUUAGUUGCAAGUGAAACAACCGCGACGCCGCCCUCGCGCACGCGCGGCGCCCACGCAUCCCACCCCCCGCGGCGCGGGCCGCCCUUCGGGUAGAGAUUAUUAACUAUUUCUGCGAGAGCGAACAAUAUUUUUAUAUAUCGUGAUUAUCCGGCGCACCCGAGUGACCGGAAAUUUAUUUACAAAGUUAUAUGUAUAAUAAUAUACAGAUGCGACUUUAUUUUAGUACGAGCCGUAUGUGUGUAUGCAGAGUCGUGCGUGUAUUUUCAUACGAAUUAUUCGAACUGCGAGUAAAUAUUUUAAUAUUGGCUAUUAUUUUAGAAUAAGACGCUAAGACCUAAACGAAACAAAAAUACAGUUAUCGAUUGUUAACGAUCAGUGCCUUGUAAUAGAUGAAGAUAUUAUUGAUGAAAAUAUUUAUGAAUAAUAAUAUUAUGAAGUAUUACGAAUUUCCUGAUCUUGUGAGAAAUAUAUUAAAUACAGUUUUUCUAUCGUGAUCGUAUCCGUUUUUGAUAUAUUUACAAAUAGGUACAAAGAUUUCGGUCCGUUUAAAAUCCAUAAAGAAUGACUACGUUCGAUCUCAUUAUUUAAUUUAGAAAAUAAACGAGGUAAAGACUACAGUUUUGGGAUCAAAUUUGGAUGUGUGUUAUGUAACAUGUAUAUUAAAAGACAUUGUAUAUAAUUUGUGAAUGGUGUAUUAUUGAUGAAAGUGGGCGUAGAAUUUACGAGCAUCGACCGCUUGCGGUCCACUCCUGUAAGAGUUUAUUACCUUCAAAUAAUAAUUAAUUAUGGUAAUUGUACAGUAUUUUUGUAUCGAGUAUUUUAUGGCGAUCGUGGCGACUACCGUGUGCGUCACGUUAUAUGUACCGUGGAGACGGCGCGUGCCCGCGGCGACGCAGCCUUGAGAUUAAAAUAUAGAAGUAGUUUUCUGCAAUUGUAGCAUGGGGGUUAUGUAUUAUAAGGACAGUUAAAAGACGGUAUGGGACUGAAUCUGAUGUAAUUUUAUCUCUUAUGGAAUUGUAUAAAAUAGUCGUGUAUUCGGAGGCCUACUGUAACAUUGUCCGCCAACAAAGUUGACUUAGUGUAAAUUUAGUUUUAAUAGAACCUGCUCAAUUAAACUCUGAGUAAAGUUAGGGAACAACUUAUUAUCGACGUUGUCACCGGGACGAAACUGAUUUUUGUAAUUUCUUUUAAUGCUCUCGUGUGACCUGUCUUUAAUAAUAUGCGUUUAGUAUUAAUGACACAGCUUGUAGUUUUUAUGAGAUUAAAUUUAUAUUAGAUUUCAUCGAAGUGAUAACACUAUAAGCCUAAUAUAUUGAAUGAGGUAUGUAGACUAUCUUGUAAAUUAUAUGUUAAUAUAUACUAAAACAGUAAAACGGCCUCUGGUUUAUAACUGUACUUGGGAAGUUUAGUUUGUACUAUUGAAAUCUGACUGUUUAAUCUGUCUUGAAAUGGACUGUUACGUUUAUUUAUUAAUAUGUGAAAAUAUUACUAAAAACUACAAAAGUACACACAUGUGCCAUUAAAUACGUAGGUUUGUAAGAAAUUAGGAACUCAGUUUUCUCCCGCGCACAAUGUUCUCUCGCUACUGUUAUUGCAAAGUUAAUAUUUUUCUACGCAGACAUGUAUUUGUAAUGUAUGUGAUAGCGCUUUUCGAAUAAAGUGAAACGUGACGACGCAGGUGUCUUAAAAUCAACUUAAAACAUAUUUAUCACGCGGAAUAAUAGCUAUUAUCCAUUUAUAUUAAGAUGUAGUUAUGUACUCGAAUAAAUAUAACUUUUUAAAUUAUGUUGUUUUAUUUUUAAAUUUUAAUUGUUGAGCCUGUAAGAUAAAAACAUAAUGAAUUGUGGUAUCGCUAAGCGAUUUCUAAUUUAUUGUUUUCAAUGAAAAAGAAUCUAAAUAAUUUAGAACUAUUAUGCAGCAAAAACAAUUCUUACAAAUUUAUGCUCCAUUGUC
rnacentral:misc_RNA from 1 species